rnacentral:rRNA from 1 species
UACGGGAGGGGGCAGUCUUGUCGGAAUUACUGGGCGUAAAGGGCUCGUAGGCGGCCAACUAAGUCCGACGUGAAAUCCCUCAGCUUAACUGGGGAACUGCGUCCGAUACUGGAUGGCUUGGAUUUGGGAGAGGGAUGCGGAAUUCCAGGUGUAGCGGUGAAAUGCGUAGAUAUCUGGAGGAACACCGGUGGCGAAGGCGGCAUCCUGGACCAACAUUGACGCUGAGGAGCGAAAGCUAGGGGAGCAAACGGG